rnacentral:snoRNA from 1 species
GCAUUAGUUUGGAUUUAUGGCAGGCCCCUUUCCCUGGGCCUCUCAUAGUGUUCUGUGCUAGAGCAGCGCUUGGCUCUGAGCCAUUGCCUGGCCUGUGUCUGUAGGCUGCUGGCACUGAAGUGGGUCACACAAUA